GACGAACGCUGGCGGCGCGCUUAACACAUGCAAGUCGAGCGAUGAAACUUUAACAGAACCCUUCGGGGCGAAGAUAAAGUGGAUUAGCGGCGGACGGGUGAGUAACACGUGAGUAACCUGCCUUAGACAUUGGGAUAGCCUCGGGAAACCGGGAUUAAUACCAAAUAAAAUCAUAAUGACACAUGUCAUAACGAUCAAAACUCCGGUGGUCUAAGAUGGACUUGCGUCCGAUUAGCUAGUUGGUAGAGUAAAAGCCUACCAAGGCGAGGAUGGGUAGCCGGGCGGAGAGGGUGACAGGCCGCAAUGGAACUGAGAACCGGACCAAACUCCGACGGGAGGCAGCAGUAGGGAAUAUUACACAAUGGAGGGAACUCUGAUGCAGCGACGCCGCGUGAACGAAGAAGGCGUUCGAGUCGUAAAGUUCUUUUAUAUGGGAAGAUAAUGACGGUACCAGAAGAAAAAGCCCCGGCUAACUACGUG
rnacentral:rRNA from 1 species